rnacentral:rRNA from 1 species
AUGCUAAUAGAUAAAGACAUGUCCCAAUCUUCUUGGUCUGCUCACGUAUGGAGGCGAUCUGAAUUAAAGGAAGAACUCUAUGUUGUCUGCUUGAAUCAAUUGUUCAUCUCUACAUUAACGAAUAGAAGAAUUUGUUCAGACUUCAGAAAUGUGUGGUUGAGGAGACAGGAACACACAGCAGUCUGCACUACACACUUGACAUACGUGCAAAGGAUCUUCACUAAGAUAUAUCGAGCAGAGCUCAUCACGACAUCCUGUGACGUUCUCAACCAUGUUAUCCUUCACGAUAAACAUAUUUUGAAGGAGACAAGAGAGCAUCCAAGCACGACCAUGUUGAACUUGAUGUCUUGCUGCAGUACAAGCGGCUGUUGUCCCUUGAUCCAGGUAUGA